rnacentral:rRNA from 1 species
AUUGAACGCUGGCGGCAUGCCUUACACAUGCAAGUCGAACGGUAACGGGCCUUCGGGUGCCGACGAGUGGCGAACAGGUGAGUAAUGCAUCGGAACGUACCUUUCAGUGGGGGAUAACGUAGCGAAAGUUACGCUAAUACCGCAUAUUCUGUGAGCAGGAAAGCAGGGGAUCGCAAGACCUUGCGCUGAUUGAGCGGCCGAUGUCAGAUUAGCUAGUUGGUGAGGUAAAGGCUCACCAAGGCGACGAUCUGUAGCGGGUCUGAGAGGAUGAUCCGCCAAACUGGAACUGAGACACGGUCCAGACUCCUACGGGAGGCAGCAGUGGGGAAUUUUGGACAAUGGGGGCAACCCUGAUCCAGCCAUGCCGCGUGAGUGAAGAAGGCCUUCGGGUUGUAAAGCUCUUGCGGUCGGGAAGAAAUCGCAUGGGUUAAUACCCUGUGCGGAUGACGGUACCGGCAUAAGAAGCACCGGCUAACUACGUGCCAGCCGCCGCCGUAAGAC